rnacentral:rRNA from 1 species
ACAGAGAGCUUGCUCUCGGGUGACGAGCGGCGGACGGGUGAGUAAUGUCUGGGAAACUGCCUGAUGGAGGGGGAUAACUACUGGAAACGGUAGCUAAUACCGCAUAAYGUCGCAAGACCAAAGUGGGGGACCUUCGGGCCUCAUGCCAUCAGAUGUGCCCAGAUGGGAUUAGCUAGUAGGUGGGGUAACGGCUCACCUAGGCGACGAUCCCUAGCUGGUCUGAGAGGAUGACCAGCCACACUGGAACUGAGACACGGUCCAGACUCCUACGGGAGGCAGCAGUGGGGAAUAUUGCACAAUGGGCGCAAGCCUGAUGCAGCCAUGCCGCGUGUGUGAAGAAGGCCUUCGGGUUGUAAAGCACUUUCAGCGGGGAGGAAGGCGWUGAGGUUAAUAACCUYGKCGAUUGACGUUACCCGCAGAAGAAGCACCGGCUAACUCCGUGCCAGCAGCCGCGGUAAUACGGAGGGUGCAAGCGUUAAUCGGAAUUACUGGGCGUAAAGCGCACGCAGGCGGUCUGUCAAGUCGGAUGUGAAAUCCCCGGGCUCAACCUGGGAACUGCAUUCGAAACUGGCAGGCUAGAGUCUUGUAGAGGGGGGUAGAAUUCCAGGUGUAGCGGUGAAAUGCGUAGAGAUCUGGAGGAAUACCGGUGGCGAAGGCGGCCCCCUGGACAAAGACUGAC